rnacentral:sRNA from 1 species
AAAGCGCCUACGGGAAAAACAGCUGGGAUGCAGACGGGCUAUGGAAAUCUCAGUUCUAGGAACCGUGUCCUUUCGUCCCGGAGAUCUGUGUGUUGGCUGUGACUCUGUUGGGCUCUACUGGACUUGGCUGGGCUCAGCUUCAGACUUGAGGUCAUGUUCAGAUGUUCUCCAAGUACCUUUUCAUUCUGGGUUCCAGGCUGAAUUAACAGCCUCACCUGGGACAAGGUGUUUUUAUGACAGAGAGCAAAAGCACAAGAGUUCAAGACAAAUCACACAAACAUAUUUAAAGCCUCUGCUCAGAUGUGGCAUUGGAUACAUCCCCAUAAACUCUACUGGCAAAACAAAGACACACAGACUUGUGGCAAAGCUCUAACUCAAUGGCGAAGAGAAGCACUGGCCUUCAGCUGGGAUCUAGCAAUUGGGAGGCAGCAGACUUGGGUAAUGAAGAGAGAAAACAAAAGUUCUUGAGACUUAUGGGUGCAGGAAAGAAAGAACAUACUGGUCGUCUUGUUAUAGGAGAUCACAAAUCAACAUCUCACUUCCGAACCGGUAAGAAAGUAAAGUGUAAUUAAAAUGGAAGUGCUAAAUUCAGAAUAUGAAGUAUGUGUUCAUGUUUCAGGAUAUUCUACUUUGGCAUGUAAUUGUGUAAAUUAUUAAAAUAUUAGAAUUAGAGCUGGGUGCAGUGGCUUAAUGCCUGUAAUCCCGGUUAUUUGGGAGGUUAAAGUGGGAGGAUCACUUAAGCCCAGGAGUUUGAGGCUGCAAUGAAGCUAUGAUUGCACCACUGCAUUCCAGCCUGGGCUACAGAGCAAGACC